UGCAAGUCGAACGAACUCUGGUAUUGAUUGGUGCUUGCAUCAUGAUUUACAUUUGAGUGAGUGGCGAACUGGUGAGUAACACGUGGGAAACCUGCCCAGAAGCGGGGGAUAACACCUGGAAACAGAUGCUAAUACCGCAUAACAACUUGGACCGCAUGGUCCGAGCUUGAAAGAUGGCUUCGGCUAUCACUUUUGGAUGGUCCCGCGGCGUAUUAGCUAGAUGGUGGGGUAACGGCUCACCAUGGCAAUGAUACGUAGCCGACCUGAGAGGGUAAUCGGCCACAUUGGGACUGAGACACGGCCCAAACUCCUACGGGAGGCAGCAGUAGGGAAUCUUCCACAAUGGACGAAAGUCUGAUGGAGCAACGCCGCGUGAGUGAAGAAGGGUUUCGGCUCGUAAAACUCUGUUGUUAAAGAAGAACAUAUCUGAGAGUAACUGUUCAGGUAUUGACGGUAUUUAACCAGAAAGCCACGGCUAACUACGUGCCAGCAGCCGCGGUAAUACGUAGGUGGCAAGCGUUGUCCGGAUUUAUUGGGCGUAAAGCGAGCGCAGGCGGUUUUUUAAGUCUGAUGUGAAAGCCUUCGGCUCAACCGAAGAAGUGCAUCGGAAACUGGGAAACUUGAGUGCAGAAGAGGACAGUGGAACUCCAUGUGUAGCGGUGAAAUGCGUAGAUAUAUGGAAGAACACCAGUGGCGAAGGCGGCUGUCUGGUCUGUAACUGACGCUGAGGCUCGAAAGUAUGGGUAGCAAACAGGAUUAGAUACCCUGGUAGUCCAUACCGUAAACGAUGAAUGCUAAGUGUUGGAGGGUUUCCGCCCUUCAGUGCUGCAGCUAACGCAUUAAGCAUUCCGCCUGGGGAGUACGGCCGCAAGGCUGAAACUCAAAGGAAUUGACGGGGGCCCGCACAAGCGGUGGAGCAUGUGGUUUAAUUCGAAGCUACGCGAAGAACCUUACCAGGUCUUGACAUACUAUGCAAAUCUAAGAGAUUAGACGUUCCCUUCGGGGACAUGGAUACAGGUGGUGCAUGGUUGUCGUCAGCUCGUGUCGUGAGAUGUUGGGUUAAGUCCCGCAACGAGCGCAACCCUUAUUAUCAGUUGCCAGCAUUAAGUUGGGCACUCUGGUGAGACUGCCGGUGACAAACCGGAGGAAGGUGGGGAUGACGUCAAAUCAUCAUGCCCCUUAUGACCUGGGCUACACACGUGCUACAAUGGAUGGUACAACGAGUUGCGAACUCGCGAGAGUAAGCUAAUCUCUUAAAGCCAUUCUCAGUUCGGAUUGUAGGCUGCAACUCGCCUACAUGAAGUCGGAAUCGCUAGUAAUCGCGGAUCAGCAUGCCGCGGUGAAUACGUUCCCGGGCCUUGUACACACCGCCCGUCACACCAUGAGAGUUUGUAACACCCAAAGUCGGUGGGGUAACCUUUUAGGAACCAGCCGCCUAAGGUG
rnacentral:rRNA from 2 species